GUGAGGAAUAUUGCGCAAUGGAGGCAACUCUGACGCAGCCAUGCCGCGUGCAGGAAGAAGGCGCUACGCGUUGUAAACUGCUUUUAACCGGGAAGAAACCCCAGGACGUGUCCUGGGUUGACGGUACCGGAGGAAUAAGCACCGGCUAACUUCGUGCCAGCAGCCGCGGUAAUACGAAGGGUGCAAGCGUUAUCCGGAUUCAUUGGGUUUAAAGGGUGCGUAGGCGGCGCGUUAAGUCAGUGGUGAAAUCCUGCAGCUUAACUGUAGACUUGCCAUUGAUACUGGCGCGCUUGAGUGCGCUUGAAGUGGGCGGAAUGUGCCGUGUAGCGGUGAAAUGCUUAGAUAUGGCACAGAACACCAAUUGCGAAGGCAGCUCACUAAGGCGAUACUGACGCUGAGGCACGAAAGCGUGGGGAUCGAACAGGAUUAGAUACCCGAGUAGUCC
rnacentral:rRNA from 1 species